AGAACAUUUGGACGGUCGAUCUACCGAUCAAUUUCACCUGCUCGGUGGAAGUUCUUCCCUUUAUCAU
rnacentral:pre_miRNA from 1 species